GAUGAACGCUGGGCGGCGUGCUUAACACAUGCAAGUCGAGGGGCAGCAUGGUCUUAGCUUGCUAAGGCCGAUGGCGACCGGCGCACGGGUGAGUAACACGUAUCCAACCUGCCGUCUACUCUUGGACAGCCUUCUGAAAGGAAGAUUAAUACAAGAUGGCAUCAUGAGUCCACAUGUUCACAUGAUUAAAGGUAUUCCGGUAGACGAUGGGGAUGCGUUCCAUUAGAUAGUAGGCGGGGUAACGGCCCACCUAGUCUUCGAUGGAUAGGGGUUCUGAGAGGAAGGUCCCCCACAUUGGAACUGAGACACGGUCCAA
rnacentral:rRNA from 1 species